UACGUAGGGGGCAAGCGUUGUCCGGAAUUACUGGGCGUAAAGCGUGCGCAGGCGGUUUUGUAAGACCGAUGUGAAAUCCCCGGGCUCAACCUGGGAACUGCAUUGGUGACUGCAAGGCUUGAGUGUGUCAGAGGGAGGUGGAAUUCCGCGUGUAGCAGUGAAAUGCGUAGAUAUGCGGAGGAACACCGAUGGCGAAGGCAGUCCCCUGGGCCUGUACUGACGCUCAUGCACGAAAGCGUGGGGAGCAAACAGG
rnacentral:rRNA from 1 species